GGAGCUUGCUCCACCGAAAGAAAAAGAGUGGCGAACGGGUGAGUAACACGUGGGUAACCUGCCCAUCAGAAGGGGAUAACACUUGGAAACAGGUGCUAAUACCGUAUAACACUAUUUUCCGCAUGGAAGAAAGUUGAAAGGCGCUUUUGCGUCACUGAUGGAUGGACCCGCGGUGCAUUAGCUAGUUGGUGAGGUAACGGCUCACCAAGGCAACGAUGCAUAGCCGACCUGAGAGGGUGAUCGGCCACACUGGGACUGAGACACGGCCCAGACUCCUACGGGAGGCAGCAGUAGGGAAUCUUCGGCAAUGGACGAAAGUCUGACCGAGCAACGCCGCGUGAGUGAAGAAGGUUUUCGGAUCGUAAAACUCUGUUGUUAGAGAAGAACAAGGAUGAGAGUAAAAUGUUCAUCCCUUGACGGUAUCUAACCAGAAAGCCACGGCUAACUACGUGCCAGCAGCCGCGGUAAUACGUAGGUGGCAAGCGUUGUCCGGAUUUAUUGGGCGUAAAGCGAGCGCAGGCGGUUUCUUAAGUCUGAUGUGAAAGCCCCCGGCUCAACCGGGGAGGGUCAUUGGAAACUGGGAGACUUGAGUGCAGAAGAGGAGAGUGGAAUUCCAUGUGUAGCGGUGAAAUGCGUAGAUAUAUGGAGGAACACCAGUGGCGAAGGCGGCUCUCUGGUCUGUAACUGACGCUGAGGCUCGAAAGCGUGGGGAGCGAACAGGAUUAGAUACCCUGGUAGUCCACGCCGUAAACGAUGAGUGCUAAGUGUUGGAGGGUUUCCGCCCUUCAGUGCUGCAGCAAACGCAUUAAGCACUCCGC
rnacentral:rRNA from 1 species